rnacentral:rRNA from 1 species
GACGAACGCUGGCGGCGUGCUUAACACAUGCAAGUCGAACGGAAAGGCCCUGCUUUUGUGGGGUGCUCGAGUGGCGAACGGGUGAGUAACACGUGAGUAACCUGCCCUUGACUUUGGGAUAACUUCAGGAAACUGGGGCUAAUACCGGAUAGGAGCCCCUGCUGCAUGGUGGGGGUUGGAAAGUUUCGGCGGUUGGGGAUGGACUCGCGGCUUAUCAGCUUGUUGGUGGGGUAGCGGCUUACCAAGGCUUUGACGGGUAGCCGGCCUGAGAGGGUGACCGGCCACAUUGGGACUGAGAUACGGCCCAGACUCCUACGGGAGGCAGCAGUGGGGAAUAUUGCACAAUGGGCGGAAGCCUGAUGCAGCAACGCCGCGUGCGGGAUGACGGCCUUCGGGUUGUAAACCGCUUUCGCCUGUGACGAAGCGUGAGUGACGGUAAUGGGUAAAGAAGCACCGGCUAACUACGUG